GGUUAAAAUUUUCAUUUCUUUCUACUGUUAAAAACUAGCAUUGCUAAUAGAAAACUAGAUAGCUACACAUGAUGUGUCACGUAUAACUUAUACCUCAUGUUGACGUACAAUGACCAAAUUUUAACAGUAGAAAUAGAUAAAAUUUUCAACA
rfam:Gossypium arboreum cultivar AKA8401 contig_323_1, whole genome shotgun sequence.